UUAAGCGACUAAGCGUACACGGUGGAUGCCCUGGCAGUCAGAGGCGAUGAAGGACGUGCUAAUCUGCGAUAAGCGUCGGUAAGGUGAUAUGAACCGUUAUAACCGGCGAUUUCCGAAUGGGGAAACCCAGUGUGAUUCGUCACACUAUCAUUAACUGAAUCCAUAGGUUAAUGAGGCGAACCGGGGGAACUGAAACAUCUAAGUACCCCGAGGAAAAGAAAUCAACCGAGAUUCCCCCAGUAGCGGCGAGCGAACGGGGAGGAGCCCAGAGCCUGAAUCAGUGUGUGUGUUAGUGGAAGCGUCUGGAAAGGCGCGCGAUACAGGGUGACAGCCCCGUACACAAAAAUGCACAUACUGUGAGCUCGAUGAGUAGGGCGGGACACGUGGUAUCCUGUCUGAAUAUGGGGGGACCAUCCUCCAAGGCUAAAUACUCCUGACUGACCGAUAGUGAACCAGUACCGUGAGGGAAAGGCGAAAAGAACCCCGGCGAGGGGAGUGAAAAAGAACCUGAAACCGUGUACGUACAAGCAGUGGGAGCCUCUUUAUGGGGUGACUGCGUACCUUUUGUAUAAUGGGUCAGCGACUUAUAUUCUGUAGCAAGGUUAACCGAAUAGGGGAGCCGAAGGGAAACCGAGUCUUAACUGGGCGUUAAGUUGCAGGGUAUAGACCCGAAACCCGGUGAUCUAGCCAUGGGCAGGUUGAAGGUUGGGUAACACUAACUGGAGGACCGAACCGACUAAUGUUGAAAAAUUAGCGGAUGACUUGUGGCUGGGGGUGAAAGGCCAAUCAAACCGGGAGAUAGCUGGUUCUCCCCGAAAGCUAUUUAGGUAGCGCCUCGUGAAUUCAUCUCCGGGGGUAGAGCACUGUUUCGGCAAGGGGGUCAUCCCGACUUACCAACCCGAUGCAAACUGCGAAUACCGGAGAAUGUUAUCACGGGAGACACACGGCGGGUGCUAACGUCCGUCGUGAAGAGGGAAACAACCCAGACCGCCAGCUAAGGUCCCAAAGUCAUGGUUAAGUGGGAAACGAUGUGGGAAGGCCCAGACAGCCAGGAUGUUGGCUUAGAAGCAGCCAUCAUUUAAAGAAAGCGUAAUAGCUCACUGGUCGAGUCGGCCUGCGCGGAAGAUGUAACGGGGCUAAACCAUGCACCGAAGCUGCGGCAGCGACACUAUGUGUUGUUGGGUAGGGGAGCGUU
rnacentral:rRNA from 1 species